rnacentral:rRNA from 1 species
CUUUAGUUUGAUACCCCGAAACCAGGUGAGCUACCCCGAGACAGCCUAUAUAACUUAGGGCUAACCCGUCUCUGUGGCAAAAGAGUGGGAAGAGCUCCGGGUAGAAGUGACAGACCUACCGAACCUGGUGAUAGCUGGUUGCCUGAGAAGUGGAUAGAAGUUCAGCCCCGUACACCCCAAACCAAAAACAUUCUUCUUAAGAUACUAAGAGAUACAUACGGGAGUUAGUUAAAGGGGGUACAGCCCCUCUAACAAAGGAUACAACCUUCGCAGGAGAAUAAAGAUCACAAUAUUCAAAACACCCUGUUCUAGUGGGCCUAAAAGCAGCCACCUAUACAGAAAGCGUUAAAGCUCAGACAGAAGAAAGUUUAUUAUACUGAUAAAAAAUCUUAUUUCCCUAAAAAUAUCAGGCUAGUCCAUGCCAACAUGGAAGAAAUUAUGCUAAAAUGAGUAACAAGAAGACACGUUCUUCUCCAAGCACAAGUGUAAACCAGAUCGGACAAACCACUGGAAAUUAACGAACCCAAACAAAGAGGGCAGUGUGGACAAUAAAGAAACCAGGAAAACCCCACAAUCAAACCAUCGUUAAUCCCACACUGGAGUGCAUAUUUAAAGGAAAGACUAAAAGAAAGGGAAGGAACUCGGCAAACCCAAGCCUCGCCUGUUUACCAAAAACAUCGCCUCCUGCAACUAUAUUAAGUAUAGGAGGUCCAGCCUGCCCAGUGACUACGGGUUCAACGGCCGCGGUAUUUUGACCGUGCAAAGGUAGCGCAAUCACUUGUCUUUUAAAUAGAGACCUGUAUGAAUGGCUAAACGAGGGCUUAACUGUCUCCCCCUUCUGGUCAGUGAAAUUGAUCUAUCCGUGCAGAAGCGGGUAUAAUUAUACAAGACGAGAAGACCCUUUGGAGCUUAAGGUACAAAAUUCAACCACGUUAAACAACUCAACAAAAAGCAAGAACUUAGUGGAAAAUGAAAUUUUACCUUCGGUUGGGGCGACCGCGGAGGAAAACCCAGCCUCCGAGUGGAAUGGGCCAAACCCCCUAAAACCAAGAGAGACAUCUCUAAGCCACAGAACAUCUGACCAAAAAUGAUCCGGCUUUAAUGGCCGAUCAACGAACCAAGUUACCCUAGGGAUAACAGCGCAAUCCUCUCCCAGAGUCCAUAUCGACGAGGGGGUUUACGACCUCGAUGUUGGAUCAGGACAUCCUAAUGGUGCAGCCG